rfam:Ornithorhynchus anatinus chromosome 3, whole genome shotgun sequence.
AGCAGCGUGGCUCAGUGGAAAGAGCACGGGCUUGGGAGUCAGAGGUCAUGGGUUCAAAUCCCGGCUCUGCCA